rnacentral:rRNA from 1 species
GACGAACGCUGGCGGCGUGCUUAACACAUGCAAGUCGAACGGAAAGGCCCUGCUUUUGGGGGGUGCGCGAGGGGCGAACGGGUGAGUAACACGUGAGUAACCUGUACCUGACUUUGGGAUAACUUCAGGAAACUGGGGCUAAUACCGGAUAGGAUCUACUGCUGCUGGGUGGGGGCUGGAAAGUUUCGGCGGUUGGGGAUGGACUAGCGGCCCAUCAGCUUGAUGGAGGGGUAGUGGCUUAGCAAGGCCAGGACGCGUAGCCUGGCUGAGAGGGUGACCGGCCACAUUGGGACUGAGAUGCGGCCCAGACUCCUACGGGAGGCAGGGGUGGAGAAUAUUACACAAUGGGCGGAGGCCUGAUGCAGCACCGCCGCGUGCGGGGUGACGGCCUUCGGGUUGUAAUCCGCUUUCGCCUGUGACGGAGCGUUAGUGACGGUAAUGGGUGAAGAAGCACCGGCUAACUACGUG